rnacentral:lncRNA from 9 species
GGAAGAGAAGGUGCUUCUUGGAGAAAUCGGGGUUUUGGGACAGAAGUUGAAGGCGAAGAUGAGAGAUGGAGGUAGAUAAGAGAAUUGGAGGUGGAGAUGAGAGAUGGAGGUUGCUGCGCAGUGCUCAGCUCCCAGCGCUCACCAAUCCUGCAGCAAACACUCUCAGAGCAGCCCCUGAGGGCCACCCUCUGCCAGGUGGAGGUACAGACGCAACUAAGACACCAAGGAGCUCCAGGUGUCCGCCUUUCCUGGCUCAGUGGCCCCUGACACAUGAGGUGGGCUCUGAGCCGCUCUGCCCCAGCUCUGCCGGGACACUUGGCUGUCCCCUGAGUGCCCACAAAUCUCCCACCUAA